rnacentral:rRNA from 1 species
AGCCCGCGGCCUAUCAGCUUGUUGAUGAGGUAAUGGGUCAUCAAGGCGACGACGGGUAGCCGGCCUGAGAGGGGCGACCGGCCACACUGGGACUGAGACACGGACACAGACUCCUACGAGAGGCAGCAGUGGGGUAAUAUUGCACAAUGGGCGAAAGCCUGAUGCAGCGACGCCGCGCUGAGGGAUGACGGCCUUCGGGUUGUAAACCUCUUUCAGCAGGGAAGAAGCGAAAGUGACGGAAACUGCAGAAGAAGCCCCGGCUAACUACGUCUCAGCAGCCGCGGUAGUACGUAGCGCGCGAGCGUUGUCCGAAAUUAUUGGGCGUAAAGAGCUCGUAGACUGCUUGUCGCGUCGGUUGUGAAAGGCCGGGGCUUAACCCCGGGUCUGCAGUCGAUACGGGCAGGUUAGAGUUCGGUAGGGGAGAUCGGAAUUCCUUGGGUAGCGGUGAAAUGCGCAGAUAUCAGGAGGAACGCCGGUGGCGAAGGCGGAUCUCUAUCAGUAUACUGACGCUGAGGAGCGAAAGCGUGGGGAGCGAACAGGAUUAGACCCCUGGUAGUCCACGCCGUAAACGGUCGCACUAGGUGUGGGCGACAUUGCACGUUGUUCCUACCUGCAACUAACGCAUUAAGU